rnacentral:misc_RNA from 1 species
AAGUCGUAACAAGGUAACCGUAGGUGAACCUGCGGUUGGAUCAUUAACAAUUAUUAUUGAGCUCUACCCCUUUUUACCGGGGCGGUAGGUUCUCUAACACUUGUGUGCACUGUUUAUUGUCUCUCGGCGUUUGAGGGUUGGGUAUCGCUACGAUACCCUUGGGCUAUUACGGCCUUGACCUAUCCUUAACGCCAAUUUUAAACUUGAUUUUUAUAUAUCUUUUAAGCCUUUAAUUUUAAAUUUUUAAAUUUGAAAACAACUUUUAACAACGGAUCUCUAGGCUCUCA